GCCGAGGUGGCGGAAUGGUAGACGCGGCGGACUUAAAAUCCGUUGCCAGUGAUGGCGUGUGGGUUCGACUCCCACCCUCGGCACCA
rnacentral:tRNA from 1 species